UAGGGAAUCUUCGGCAAUGGACGGAAGUCUGACCGAGCAACGCCGCGUGAGUGAAGAAGGUUUUCGGAUCGUAAAGCUCUGUUGUAAGAGAAGAACGAGUGUGAGAGUGGAAAGUUCACACUGUGACGGUAUCUUACCAGAAAGGGACGGCUAACUACGUGCCAGCAGCCGCGGUAAUACGUAGGUCCCGAGCGUUGUCCGGAUUUAUUGGGCGUAAAGCGAGCGCAGGCGGUUAGAUAAGUCUGAAGUUAAAGGCUGUGGCUUAACCAUAGUACGCUUUGGAAACUGUUUAACUUGAGUGCAAGAGGGGAGAGUGGAAUUCCAUGUGUAGCGGUGAAAUGCGUAGAUAUAUGGAGGAACACCGGUGGCGAAAGCGGCUCUCUGGCUUGUAACUGACGCUGAGGCUCGAAAGCGUGGGGAGCAAACAGGAUUAGAUACCCUGGUAGUCCACGCCGUAAACGAUGAGUGCUAGGUGUUAGACCCUUUCCGGGGUUUAGUGCCGCAGCUAACGCAUUAAGCACUCCGCCUGGGGAGUACNACCGCAAGGNUG
rnacentral:rRNA from 1 species